AAAUGAAUAGACGGGGGCCCGCACAAGCGGUGGAGCAUGUGGUUUAAUUCGAAGCAACGCGAAGAACCUUACCAGGGCUUGACAUCCCCUGACCGCUAUGGAAACAUAGCUUCUCUUCGGAGCAGGGAGACAGGUGGUGCAUGGUUGUCGUCAGCUCGUGUCGUGAGAUGUUGGGUUAAGUCCCGCAACGAGCGCAACCCUUGUCAUUAGUUGCCAGCAUUAAGUUGGGCACUCUAAUGAGACUGCCGGUGACAAACCGGAGGAAGGUGGGGAUGACGUCAAAUCAUCAUGCCCCUUAUGUCCUGGGCUACACACGUGCUACAAUGGUCUGUACAGAGGGCAGCGAAGUGGCGACACGGAGCGAAUCCCAGAAAGCAGAUCUCAGUUCGGAUUGCAGGCUGCAACUCGCCUGCAUGAAGUCGGAAUCGCUAGUAAUCGCAGGUCAGCAUACUGCGGUGAAUACGUUCCCGGGCCUUGUACACACCGCCCGU
rnacentral:rRNA from 1 species